rnacentral:rRNA from 1 species
GAAACCGGAGCUAAUACCGGAUAAUAUUUUGAACCGCAUGAUUCAAAAGUGAAAGACGGUCUUGCUGUCACUUAUAGAUGGAUCCGCGCUGCAUUAGCUAGUUGGUAAGGUAACGGCUUACCAAGGCAACGAUGCAUAGCCGACCUGAGAGGGUGAUCGGCCACACUGGAACUGAGACACGGUCCAG